rnacentral:rRNA from 1 species
UAGGGAAUAUUGGACAAUGGGCGAAAGCCUGAUCCAGCAACGCCGCGUGCGCGAUGACGGCCUUCGGGUUGUAAAGCGCUUUUAGAGGAGAUGAGAAAGGACAGUAUCCUCAGAAUAAGCCUCGGCGAGCUACAUGCCAGCAGCCGCGGUAAAACGUAGGAGGCUAGCGUUAUCCGGAUUUAUUGGGCGUAAAGCGCGUGCAGGCGGUUUGAUAAGUUGGAUGUGAAAUCUCCCGGCUUAACUGGGAGCGGUCGUUCAAGACUAUCAGACUAGAGAAUGGGAGAGGAAGGUGGAAUUCCGGGUGUAGUGGUGAAGUGCGUAGAUAUCCGGAGGAACACCAGUGGCGAAAGCGGCCUUCUAGACCAUUUCUGACGCUAAGACGCGAAAGCUAGGGUAGCAAACGG